ACAGUAAAUACCGCGUCGUUAAAUAACUCUCUUAAUCAAUUAAAUCAAUUACCAAGCUUCGACCACCAGAAUUUUGAAAAAAUCAUGUCACGAUUUACGUCUUUAGUUUUAUUAUUUUUGCAAUUGUUAAUUUUUUUAAAUAAUCUCUAUGAUUAUAAAGUUCAAGGUCUACACUGGGUAGAAAUACAAGUUCCAAUCAGCAGCUAUGGCUCGACUAUAGGAGUAUUGGGGGUGCGUGUUACGCCUACAGAUGGUGGCAGAUAAAUCCUACACAGAAAAAAAAGUUGACUUGAUUCAAGUGUAAUAUUCAUGAAGCAAGAAUACUAGUUUGAAAAAUUCUAUUUCUUUUGUUUGAAAAAUUUAUUUCUUGGCUCAAGGAGUUUCAACACAGCGUAUUUGGUUGUUUUUUGCGAUUAGUUGUAGUUAGUUUUGAAUUGUAAGUUCGACGAUAGUACCAAAAAACGUCUCUGGACCAUACGACAGAAAUUCGUUUCAGAAAAAAAUACAGUUAAUUGGUGGUAUCGACAUUUAAUCCAUUUUUCCACCCAAUCUGGACUUUGAAAAAAUCCAUUUGUUUAUAACAAUAGUUAACAAAAAAAAAAACGUCUUUUGAUGAUACGACAGAAAUUCGUGUCAGAAAAAAUGCAGUCGAUUGGUACUAUCGACAUUUAAUCGAUUUUCUUUUUUCUGUCAUUUUUAAUAUAAGAAAAUUAAAAAAAUUACGGCUUAUCAAGCAUCUGACGUGAUUUGACGGAGAGAGAGCUCGCGCAUAGGCAGCUGCUAGUGCGAGAGGGAGAGGUCCGAGCGCCGGCUCGUUUUUUUAUUAUAUCUCGCGAAAUAUUUGAGAUACAAAAAAAACAUUCGAAACUUUUUUUGUGUAUUUUUUCAUUCUGAACAUUUUGUUUUCUGUACACUGCCUCAAAAAACCAGCCGUUCGGUAGUUAUUUCGAUUUAAACAAUUAAAUUGUUAUUAACAAUUGUUUGCACCACUUUUGAACAAAAUGGACCCGAUUUUCGUGAUCCUUGGCUCAAAAUACGUAAAAAACGGUUGGAUUUACUCGGUGCCAACAAAACGUAUACGGGCUCUCCUCUUCAGCCGAAGGACUACCCAUACUUCGCAUUCGAGGCGUGCAAUUAUACAUCAGUAAUUAGCAAGUGGCCUGAAUAAAAAGGGCAGUCAAGAAAAAAAAUUGCAAGUUUUUUUAGAUAUAAAAUAAGUUAUUUAUUACUGUAAUAUUUAUAUAAUACAAUUAAUUUUUUUUUUUACAAAUACUGAAAUUAUUCAAUUAAAAUAUAUUAAACUAAUAAUUAAUAAUUAAUUUUAUAUUUCUUUAUUUCUAUCAUAAUAAAAUGAAUAUUUGUUAACUGUGUUCGUAUAUUAGCAGGUAAAAUUUUGUGUAACCGUUGAUAAUAUUCAACAAGUUGUGUCAUUGUUCGUUGUACAAGUGCGCCGCCAAGUACCAAAUUUGGAAAUGAUUUUAAUAUUUCAUUAUUUAUUUGUUCGAGUGAUUGUUUCCAAUUGUUUGUAAAUGAUUGUACCAAAUCAAUAGCACGUGAUUCAUGACGUUUCAACUCAUCAGUUAAACCCUUUUCAAUCAAUGUCUCUGAUUCUUUAACUAAUUGAAUAAUGCCACCAAAGUGAGGUGACAAUAUUUCUUCAACAUAUUCUGAUGAUUUAGCAUUCAAUUGUUCUUUAAAACUUUCAGCUUCUUUGCAAUUAUCACGCGUUCGUUC